UUCUGUAUGAUUAAAAUGACUGGCAAGUGUGGGUUGGCAUUGUAGGUCAGUCAGCAUCUGGCUGCUGAAUACAUUUUUCAGAGCUGUGUGCUGCUCUCUCCCACCCCCAAUCAUCUUUGAUUUUCAGAUAUUGUAAUGUGGUCUACUUCAAGAUACCCUUGAAGACCACCUGGAGGCUUCAGCUGGUGCAGAAAGCAACUUCUUAUCACAUGAGUGGGGCCAGGACAUAGCGGAGUACAUAGUGCUGAGAUUUCAGGAUAAUUGAGAUCGGCUGGAAUGCUGUGGUAAAGCUAUCCAGGUUUGACAGCAGCGCUUUCAUGUCAAGCAUCUCUGCCUUUGUAAUUUUCUCCUCUUGGUGGUCUGCCAGAGUCCAAGUUGGGCAAGCUUCAGGCCCUGAUCAAAGUGACCACAAAUAGUAACAAACGACAUGUGAAAACAUUCCAAGAAAACUCAGCUCCUCAGGCACAAUGGAACUUUCUACCAUAUAGGUAAAGCUUGUCUGUGUCGAAUGCAGAACUUUCUUGGAGGCUGUUCUCGGACUGGAACGAACUCGUCUAGGAGCUAAGGACCAUCACAAACCCUCACUUUUUAUGCCAACCGCAAGGCGCACUUCUUCAACCUGUUUUCUCUAACAUAAACACAGAGCAGCAAGGACAUUUAAAAACGAGCCCCAACCCAAAAUGCUUCACCACACACACACACGUCUCCCUCUGGGGAGAAGAUAGGAGAGACUGUUCCACACAUGAUAGACAUGUGUUAGUCACGUCACUUAAUGUGCUGCUGGAAAGUCCUUAGAUGCUACAGUGAUCAUGGCAAUGUAAGAACCUACGUAGAAUAGAAUAAGUUUGUGUUAGUAUAUAUAGCUAAAGAUAACAUUUGUUUACAGCAUAAGACUUUAAGUUGUCCCUUUUAUUAAAAUCCUUACUAAGAAGUAGAACAAAGUAGUAUUUUCUGAAGUCCAUUGUUUUUUGCCACGUACUACCUUGCAAGAUUAUUUUACUGAACCAUGAGCUCUCAGGACCUAAUCCUCUGCCCAUUUAUAGUUGGUGGAAAAACACCCAUUGACAUUAUGGGCUUUCGAUCAGUCCCAGACAACACUGAUACUGACUGAAGGAGAGUGCAUUUUAUCUCUUCCCCUCUGAGUCCAAAACACCCAUGUGUUGCCAUAAAAUCUGUUUGUGUAGAUCCUUCUGUAGAAGGGGAAUAAGCAGAUGUUUUCAAAUGUAUGUAUGCAUGCUGUUAAGGAUUGUCAUUACUGCAUUUCCACUAGAAAUUUUCUUUCCAGAUGUCAGUACCUUUAUUUGAAGGGGGAGGAGAGAGACUGAAGCCAGCUUAUACUUGAAGAGGGGCUUGGAGUUGAAUCUUGAACACACUUGAAUUUGUUUAUUUUCAAAAAGUUUUCUGCUGAAAAACUUGUUUUCAGAAGAUCCUACUUAUAAUAUCCAUUCUAUUUGACUGUUGUGUCAUGGGCCUAGCAAUAGUGAACUUUGUGAUUACUUUCAUUAAAAAAAAAAAAUUAGUGUUUGUGAAUUUACUGGUUUAUAGUUCAGAGCUUUUGCCAGGCUGCAUUUAGUAUGUCCACUUUUUAAUCCUUGAAAUUCUGUGAAGUGUAUGCUGGCAUUCAUGCAAAAGUUGAAAUGGUCACUUUUUCCAUUUAAAGUGUUAAUGGACUUUAUGCAUGUCUCGAACACUGAAAGUAAAGGUGUUAAAGGUAAACUUCUGCUAAAAUGAAAUAAUUAAACCUUGUCUUUAUUCCAAAUAUCAGUUAAUAAAGAAACUUUCAUGGUUCUUUGUUUACCUGUGUAAAAUUGGUAGAAUGGAAUAUCUUGGAAAUGCCUGAUCAAGACAAUCAAUGCUAUCAAUUUCUAAUUAGAUACAGUUGCUAUCAAUGUCCACGUUUUAGGAAAAGGAUUUUAUAUUUUUGUGUAUUUAAACAAGAGUAUGUGGAACUAAUGCAAAUGUUUCUUUGGCACACUUACAAAAGAUAUUUAUUUUCUUAAUAACUUGACAUCUGCAUAGGAGAGGAGAGACCCUUAGCUAAGGUGUCUGAGGAUAUAGGCACUUCUUCCUCUAAUGGGAUGCCACUCCCCAAAAUAUUACAGUCUAGUAUGCUGUCAGAGACCACACUGCUCUGCCCAGUGCAACAGCUAUGUAAGUUCUUUAGUAGAAUCUGCUUUUAAGUCUUAACGUCAUCUUUCAGGAUCUAACUGUAGAGAUCCUAUGAAGUAUGUUUUUAAAUGCCUUUUUAUAUCUGUUUACUUUCUCUUCUGUAAAUUGCCAAUAAACACUUAAAUUGGUUUUUCACUAUUAAAUCUGACAAGUUACUGCCUGGCACUUUUGAAAGGAAUGAAGUGCUUCCCUUGCUAGAGGAGACAGGUAAAAAAGUGAGUGCAUGUGGA